UACGGGGGGGGCAAGCGUUGUUCGGAAUUACUGGGCGUAAAGGGCUCGUAGGCGGCCAACUAAGUCAGACGUGAAAUCCCUCGGCUUAACCGGGGAACUGCGUCUGAUACUGGAUGGCUUGAAUCCGGGAGAGGGAUGCGGAAUUCCAGGUGUAGCGGUGAAAAGCGUAGAUAUCUGGAGGAACACCGGUGGCGAAGGCGGCAUCCUGGACCGGCAUUGACGCUGAGGAGCGAAAGCCAGGGGAGCAAACGGG
rnacentral:rRNA from 1 species